rnacentral:rRNA from 1 species
ACCUUUUGUAUAAUGGGUCAGCGACUUAUAUUCUGUAGCAAGGUUAACCGAAUAGGGGAGCCGAAGGGAAACCGAGUCUUAACUGGGCGUUAAGUUGCAGGGUAUAGACCCGAAACCCGGUGAUCUAGCCAUGGGCAGGUUGAAGGUUGGGUAACACUAACUGGAGGACCGAACCGACUAAUGUUGAAAAAUUAGCGGAUGACUUGUGGCUGGGGGUGAAAGGCCAAUCAAACCGGGAGAUAGCUGGUUCUCCCCGAAAGCUAUUUAGGUAGCGCCUCGUGAAUUCAUCUCCGGGGGUAGAGCACUGUUUCGGCAAGGGGGUCAUCCCGACUUACCAACCCGAUGCAAACUGCGAAUACCGGAGAAUGUUAUCACGGGAGACACACGGCGGGUGCUAACGUCCGUCGUGAAGAGGGAAACAACCCAGACCGCCAGCUAAGGUCCCAAAGUCAUGGUUAAGUGGGAAACGAUGUGGGAAGGCCCAGACAGCCAGGAUGUUGGCUUAGAAGCAGCCAUCAUUUAAAGAAAGCGUAAUAGCUCACUGGUCGAGUCGGCCUGCGCGGAAGAUGUAACGGGGCUAAACCAUGCACCGAAGCUGCGGCAGCGACGCUUAUGCGUUGUUGGGUAGGGGAGCGUUCUGUAAGCCUGUGAAGGUGUGCUGUGAGGCAUGCUGGAGGUAUCAGAAGUGCGAAUGCUGACAUAAGUAACGAUAAAGCGGGUGAAAAGCCCGCUCGCCGGAAGACCAAGGGUUCCUGUCCAACGUUAAUCGGGGCAGGGUGAGUCGACCCCUAAGGCGAGGCCGAAAGGCGUAGUCGAUGGGAAACAGGUUAAUAUUCCUGUACUUGGUGUUACUGCGAAGGGGGGACGGAGAAGGCUAU